rnacentral:lncRNA from 1 species
CCUCACGUAAAGAAUGCCUGCAAAACACAUAACAGAUGAUAAGCUUAGACCGACAAUUUAGUCUCAUCAUUCAAUCGAUGACAAGGCAGUCUUUGGCAACCACCUGACCAGCCGUGAUUCAAUGAAACACAAAUGGCAUGACAGAGUCUAUUGGCAAGAAGAACCGGGAAGAAGACGAAUAUGUUUGAAGAGUGAGUCUUUGUUUAAGAUAUUGCAUGCGCACUCGUAUUUAGGGGUUACUCUUUCAAUAAAACUUGUAACAAUCCAUUAAAUAUUUAGUAACGCAACAACAGAAUUAAUUUGGGGGGAAAAGAAGAGGGAAGAGAAAGGUUACCCUUCAGAAAAUUGGAUUACUCAAAUAUUGGAAUUGAGAAGAGUGAGGAUAUUAGAAGAUUUUGGCACAACCGGGUGACAUUAUUCCGUAAUCGUAAUAACUAAUAUAAAUUUCAUAUACAGACCUUGGUUCAAAAUUCGGUGUAUUUAAUUAAAACCGGGGAAAAAAAUGGAGCCGGAAUAGAAAUGGCCGAACCUUUGGUGGGUCA